AGUGUAGAAUUUAAGGAGAUGCG
rnacentral:miRNA from 1 species